ACCUGGGUGGCUUAGUCGGUUAAGUGUCUGACUUUGGCUCAGGUCAUGAUCUUGAAGUUUGUGGGUUCGAGCCCCACCUCAGCUC
rfam:Felis catus breed Abyssinian Contig136684.1, whole genome shotgun sequence. [26-MAY-2016]